CAUGUGCUCCUGAAAUUACAUUCUUCAUUUAUUUUUUAACAAUAAAGAAUAUCUUUUGUUUCAUGAAUACACUAAACGAUAUUUCUUAUUUUUCUAGCCGGUGACGACGGAUAUUUCGGUAACAACUGCACAAGGUUGUGUAAUUGUGCGACUGGAACUUGUAGUGUAUUUACAGGAAAUUGUUCUGGAGGUUGUGCAAAGGGAUGGCGUGGUGAAGCAGGCGAUGAAGUUAAAUCUAAAUUGCUGUCGGAAGAGUCGUCUUAAGCGGGCGCGAUAGAAUGAGGUGUUGCUGCUGUUAUAAUCGUGAAAAUAAUGGUGGAGACAUAAAUAGUUUACAAACGCAGGUUUAUAUCAAAAAAGUCAUUAGCAGCAACAUUAUGACGAUGUUCGAAUGGAAAAGGUUUCUACAUAUCAAGAUCUCAUGACACGCCCAACAUCAAAUGCAUAUGAUCCGAUAAAUACAGCAUUCGUCCAUCGAUAAGCAGAAACUUUAAUUUUGUUAACAAAACGUGUGCAUACAACAUAAAAAUCAAACAGAAUAUGAUUAAUAUAAGCCAAACUAACAUAGGACAGUGCAAUUACAAUAGUGUAUGUGUGUUACUCUCAAAAGGAAGGAAAACAUUCUGGCUAGUUACCAUGAUAAACAGAUCUAUAAUAAUCUUCUGGUUCGUUUGUGAUCAUAUGUAUAGCUGCUCGGGUUGUCUGCAAAUUGAUAUAGUAAAAUAUCAACCGCGAUUACCAAUGUUUACAUACUCUUCAAAUAAAGUUGGCAUAUUUAGA